rnacentral:rRNA from 2 species
GGAGGUAGUGACAAUAAAUCACAAUGCGGGACUUUUAGUUUUGCAAUUGGAUUGAGAACAAUGUAAAAGAGUUAUCGAUAAACAAUUGGAGGGCAAGUCUGGUGCCAGCAGCCGCGGUAAUUCCAGCUCCAAUAGCGUAUAUUAACGUUGUUGCAGUUAAAAAGCUCGUAGUUGAAGUGUGGGGUGAAAAGUUGGUUGUUUCUUUGAAAUGGCUGUCUGCUCACCCCCUCUCCAAUGUGUUAUUAUGGGUAUUAAUUUACUUGUAAUAGCUAUUGGUCAUUUACUGUGAGAAAAUUAGAGUGUUCAAAGCAGGCAUUUGCUUGAAUAUAUUAGCAUGGAAUAAUAGUAAAAGGCUUUUGUGGUCGAUUUAAUUGGUUUGUUCAUAAAAGCAAGAUUAAUAGGGACAGUUGGGGGUAUUCAUAUUCAAUAGUUAGAGGUGAAAUUCUCGGAUUUAUGGAAGAUGAACAAGUGCGAAAGCA